CCAGUGGGAUCCUGGGGUGCAUGAGGAACAGCACUGCCAGCAGGUCAGGGAGGGGAUCCUGCCCCUCCACCCAGCCCAGUGAGGUGUGUCUGGAGGGCUGUGUCUUGCCUCAGGACAAGAGAGACACAGAGCUCCUGAAGUGGGUCCAGCAGAGAGCAAUAAAGACAAUUAAGGGGCUGGAGCACCUCUCUCAUGAGACUGAGGGAGCUGGGCCUGUUCAGCCCUGACAAGAGGCAACUAAGUGGGGACCACAUCAGAGUCUGUAUUUGAAGGGGGAGUGUCAAGAGGAGCCAGGCUCUUCCCAGGGUUGCCAAGCUUAGGACAAGAGGCAACAGGCAGACACUGAUGCACAACAGGUUCCACCUGAAUAUGUGGAAGAGUUUCUUCCCUGUGCAGUGACCGAGCACUGCACAGAUUACCCAGAGAGGUCAUAGAGUCUCCCUCACUUGGAGAUGUCCAAGAACCAUCUGGACAGAAUCCUGUGCCAUGUGCUCUGGGAUGGCCCUGCUUGAGCAGGGAGGUGGGACCAGAUGACCUUCCAUUCUUUCCCAUUCUGUGAUUCUGUGAGAUUGCUGUACCACCACUAAAAGAUUCAUGAGCUCUGUGGCCAGAAAGGGAGGAGAGAGAAAACUGCAAUUUUAACAACUUCUGACACUAGAGAAUGAGCAGGGUAUGGAAAAUCAACACAUCAGAAGGGCAUUGUUUAUUUCAGUCACAGACAAACUCCAACAAGGCUUCAUUUGCAUUUGCACAAACAGCAAAGUGUGCUACAGUAAGCUUUUCUAAGUUGAUUAGCUGGAGGAGGGAAAGCAGACUUUCCCAGCUUUGAAGAUUCAUUUGUAAGCAGGGGAGGGAUGCGAUGAGCGAUCCUAUGAGGCGAUCCAGAGGAGGGGCAUCUGUGAUGCUCCACAGGACUCUGCCUUGGGAGAGCCCACUGGGCUAAUCCUCAGCUGCAGCUACCAAGGCAGCUUUUCCUGAACUGCCUUGGGAAGAGAUGAGUUUUUGACACAAGUUUACCAUGCUUAAUUUGAUGCUUUCAUAGAAGCAGCUCCAUCUCCGUAAUCAAGAGCUUUUCUCUUUCCUUUCCGGUUCUGAUUUUAAGCUUGUCUAGCCACAGUAUUUUGACAAAUUCAGUGUGCAUCAGCAUUAGGGAUGUAAUACACUCAAGUGAUGUUGCAGGCAGACCAUAUGCAAACUGAGACAAGUCUGGGAAUCCAUGGGGUCAUGGUGAAAUGCUAGGAACAAAGGAAAAAAACUUUGUAGGGAGGGAUUAUUCACUGGUUUCUGACACAGAGUUUCAAGCUGAGAGAAUCAGCUGCUUUGAAAAAAUCUCACAUCAUCACACGUGUCUCUUCUGAUAAAACAUUAGGUAACCCUGUGUUCCAGGGGUAAAGUACUCAGCUUGCUUAUUGACUGCACAGUGGUAAAUUCUUCAUUAAAGCAGGUUUCUGGCUGUAUCUCAGAAACUGAAUGCUCAUUUAAGUAAAUAGUGACCUGAAACCAUUGCUACUGAGCAGUCAGACCUUAUAUGGGAAAGUCUGUGCAAGUCAUCAGAUAGAUUGCAAUAAGGUAUCUCAGAGGUGAAAGAUAAAAACCCAACUACAGUUGACUUGGCAAAAAGUGUUCUCACAGGAACAUCUUGCUCCACAAACACUGCCAUUCUUAGAAACAGGCCAGCUUUAGACAUGGUUUCUAAGAUUCAGGGGAGUCUAGGGACUAGACAAACAUCCCUUCUUCAAAACAAGAAUUUAAAUUAUUCGCUGAAAUGACAUGGACCAACCAACCCAGGCCAGAAGAGUGGAAUGCCCCAGGAAAACUGCCAUGCUUACAGUUGGUCUCCAUGACAAGAAGGGCAGCUUGAACUUGUGGCUCCUGUAUGCCAACAAACUUUGGCAUCACACUGGUUUAGAAAACAGCCUGCAAACAGAUGGAGAGCUGCUGGAGAUGAAUCUGAAGGCUGAGGAUCAAAGUUGGUACCACCAUAACAAGGAGGCAGGGACGCCUCUAAUGGUGCUCAAAGCUGUCCUGUCCUACUGAGGGCACUGCAAAGGCACACAAAGCACAGGCAUCCAAACCUACCUGAUGUGCACCAUGCCAGCUUCAAAACAGCUUAUGGACAGGUAACUAGGAAUCAAGUGUCCAUUUUAAGAUGCACAAUCAGCUCCAUAGCCAGCAAGACAGAGCAAAAUGUUAACUUUCCCCCUUCCAGCACCCCUCCAAACCUCAGAGAAGCUUCAUCCCAAGGCCCUAACAGAGCAAAUGCCAGCUGGGGUGAUUUCCUCACACACUGAGUCACCGUGUGGGCUGAACACUCAUCCUGAACUGUGACAAAACCACCUACCUCUGAACUUUGACAAACUGUGCCAAUAAAGUUAUUGAGUGAUCAUGACCAUUUUCUGUUAACUUUUUUUUAACGUUUCAUUUGCUAAAAAGGCAAUUUUAGCUCCUGAAGAAGGCAUUUUAAGCAGAACUCAGAAAUGUGACCUGGAAAGAUAAUAUGAAUGGGAUUUUUCUCUGUCAUCUCUCUAUGCUUUUGAUUAUUCUUGACAUUCUAUAAUGUUAAGUUAUAAAUAGAAAGCAUUUUGGAAAUGUCAUAAUAUCCUGUGUCUAAUAAGAGAAUACCACAGCUAGAAAAUAUGCUUAAGAAAUCAAGAUUACAUAGCAGACUCAAGAGGAAGAAUUAAACUGGGCUUCAAUGCAAUGGAACUUAACAGCUAUAAAAAAAUAUGAACUGUGAACUCAAACUGGAAGCUACAAUUGAAAUGUAAACAUUGCUUAUUGAAAGCAGGAUGCUGCAUUAAUAAAGCAACCACAAAAGCUGAACACUUGUGGCAUUACUGGAUAAAGCAGGGAUGCUUUUUCACCCUUUCAAGUGGAUCUAAUUCAGAUUAUGUCUCCCACCUAACCCAAAUGUUCAAAGUUCUUGUACUUGAUCCUUCAGUAGAGCAUGAAUUUGUUUUGGAAUGUUCUAGCUGAAUUGAUUUCUUUUUCUCUUGCCUUUCCAUCUCAUAUGGAAAUUAUUCUCAUCUCUUUGCAGGUCUUCCGUGUCUUAGCACAGGUAAAAGGGCUGGUACUGAUGAAUACAUGACAAGCUUUUCAUAUUCUCAUAAAUUAAAUUGGAAUAUUUACUAAAGAUCAAAAUCAAUUCUUUCUUUUCUAUGCUUGAACCUAAAGCACAGUGCAAUUUCUGCUUUGAUUUGUACAGAACACUUUGCUGACUAUAUCAAUAGCUACCAAUUCACCCCGCACUAUGUGGAACAGACUUUGCCUCCUGGAACAUGCCUGUGAGACUUCAGGGGCUGAACACCACUCUGCAUCACCCCUCCAGGAGGCACCAACCACUGACUCCUCUGGAGUCUGGGGGUGGCCAAGAAGAGUCACAAACAUGGCUGGAUUUGGGUUUGACUAGUACUGAAGCAUAACUAAAGUUAUAAUAACAAAACCAUGGCACUAAGAUGAUAUGUGCUGAUGUAACUCUUCUGAAAAUUUCAAUGAGUGAUCUGCAAGAUCAAUAAAAAAAAAGACUCUUAACAUAGUCAACAAAAUGGUUCGGAAGUAUUUCUGAAAUUAAUAUAUGAACAGAAAAAUUUAUAAAUAACUAAAAUUUCCGUGGAGCUUUGCUCCAACUGACAUUUAUUUCAUUAUACCAUCCCAUUCUAACAGUCCCUUAUUUAGGUAUCUAAGGCAACCAAUGAAAACCCAACAAAAAAUACCUUUUUCACUCUAGAACCCCAGCUUCUUGAUUACAAAGAAAUGAAGCUUUAAUUACCUUUGGGUAAUUAAAGGUGACUGGUCAGAGAAGAAAACAAACAGUAUCUAGAAUCAGUGUUAUGUGACAGUCCCAGCUGCAGAAGGGCAAGGUCUGACACACUGCUGUUGCCCCAUUGUGGAAUUAACAUCCACAGUAAUAAACAAAACAACAGGGGUCUUAAAAACUCUACAGCAAAAAUUACAGAUUUUUUUUUUCACCUGACCUAAGCAAAAAUGUUUGGCUGUAAUUGCAUGAUGGGAGAAAGAGGACCCUUUGAAGUUUAAGAGUUACCUGCAUACUUAGAAAAUGUUUUCUGAGAUAGGUCAUUUUUCUUCCAAAUGUGACUGAUCUGUUCCACAUAAAUGCAAAUUCUCAUUUCUACUUUGUUAUUUGUCAAGAAAAUUGCAAUCAAUAUUAUUUUAAUCCACCUCAUACACAGUGUUGAACCUUUUAUUUGUCUCAAUGAAUAAAUAAUUCAAACUGA